rnacentral:rRNA from 1 species
GAUGAACGCUGGCGGCGUGCCUAAUACAUGCAAGUCGAGCGAACAGACGAGGAGCUUGCUCCUCUUACGUUAGCGGCGGACGGGUGAGUAACACGUGGAUAACCUACCUAUAAGACUGGGAUAACUUCGGGAAACCGGAGCUAAUACCGGAUAAUAUAUUGAACCGCAUGGUUCAAUAGUGAAAGACGGUUUUGCUGUCACUUAUAGAUGGAACCGCGCCGCAUUAGCUAGGUGGUACGGUAACGGCUUACCAAGGCUACGAUGCGUAGCCGACCUGAGAGGGUGAUCGGCCACACUGGAACUGAGACACGGUCCAGACUCCUAAGGGAGGCAGCAGUAGGGAAUCUUCCGCAAUGGGCGAAAGCCUGACGGAGCAAAGCCGCGUGAGUGAUGAAGGUCUUCGGAUCGUAAAACUCUGUUAUUAGGGAAGAACAAAUGUGUAAGUAACUAUGCACGUCUUGACGGUACCUAAUCAGAAAGCCACGGCUAACUACGUG